rnacentral:tRNA from 1 species
GGGUAUAUAGCUCAGUUGGUAGAGCAUUGGGCUUUUAACCUAAUGGCCGCAGGUUCAAGUCCUGCUAUACCUA